rnacentral:rRNA from 1 species
AAUUAAGCUACUAAGGGUGGAUGGGGGAUGCCUUGGCUCCGAGAGGCGAUGAAGGACGCUGCGAGCUGCGA